rnacentral:rRNA from 1 species
GACGAACGCUGGCGGCGUGCUUAACACAUGCAAGUCGAACGGAAACGCCCUGCUUUUGUGGGGUUCUCGAGUGGCGAACGGGUGCGUAACACGUGAGUAACCUGCCCUUGACUUUGGGAUAACUUCAGGAAACUGGGGCUACUACCGGAUAGGAGCUCCUGCUGCAUGGUGGGCGUUGGAAAGUUUCGGCGGUAGGGGAUGGACUCGCGGCUUAUCAGCUUGUUGGUGGGGUAGUGGCUUACCAAGGCUUUGACGGGUAGCCGGCCUGAGAGGGUGACCGGCCACAUUGGGACUGAGAUACGGACCAGACUCCUACGGGAGGCAGAAGUGGGGAAUAUUGCACAAUGAGCGGAAGCCUGAUGCAGCAACGCCGCGUGCGGGAUGACGGCCUUCGGGUUGUGAACCGCUUUCGCCUGUGACGAAGCGUGAGUGACGGUAAUGGGUGAAGAAGCACCGGCUAACUACGUG